AUUGAACGCUGGCGGCAUGCCUUACACAUGCAAGUCGAACGGCAGCACGGGGGCAACCCUGGUGGCGAGUGGCGAACGGGUGAGUAACGCAUCGGAAUGUACCCAGUAGUGGGGGAUAACUAGUCGAAAGAUUAGCUAAUACCGCAUACGCACUGAGGUGGAAAGCGGGGGAUCGCAAGACCUCGCGCUAUUGGAGCAGCCGAUGUCCGAUUAGGUAGUUGGUGGGGUAAAGGCCUACCAAGCCUGCGAUCGGUAACUGGUCUGAGAGGACGACCAGUCACACUGGGACUGAGACACGGCCCAGACUCCUACGGGAGGCAGCAGUGGGGAAUUUUGGACAAUGGGCGCAAGCCUGAUCCAGCAAUGCCGCGUGUGUGAAGAAGGCCUUCGGGCUGUAAAGCACUUUUGGCGGGAGCGAAACGGCGUUUGCUAAUACCAGACGCUAAUGACGGUACCCGCAGAAUAAGACACCGGCUAACUACGUGCCAGCAGACCCGG
rnacentral:rRNA from 1 species